UCUUGGGGUCCUAAAGACCCUCAAAGCACCAGAUCCGGUCUCAUCUUGGAAGCUAAAGCAGGGCCAACCCUGGUUAGUACUUGUAUGGGAGACUGCCAAUGAAUACCAGGCGCUGUAGAGC
rnacentral:rRNA from 1 species